AAAAAGAAAACAAAAAGGAAACUUCAUUUCUCCAAAAAUGGAGAAACUCCAGUAGCUUCUCCGACCCUUCGUCAUAGCCGAACUCUCCAUCCAUUGUUGAUGACCUCAACCUUGGUAACUUCAGGCUUCGUUGCAAAUGGUGAACAUGGGAUGACUUCCUUCUUCCUAGCUAAGAGCAGAAACGAGCAAAGAGACGAGCUUGGAUAGAUUACAGCUUAGACGCCAAAAAUUCUCACUAGGGCCAUUUUCUUGUCCGAUGAAGACUUCUUCAACUCAUUUUAGCUCAUAUAUGCUCUAUCAGGACGAAAGUACCUUUCCUUUACUUAUUCAUUUUGUGAAGAUUGAUGUGGGGAACUAACAACUUAGAUCUGUUUUCUACAGCUAUCCCCUACUAAUACAUAGACGGAUCUUCAUCAGGAUGUUUCAAGUCUUCUCCCAGAUAUGUGAUUGUUCUUACCUUACAAAAUUGUAUUUUUCCUAAUUCGUUGAAAUUUGACAGGUUGAGCUCCUUUGGAACUGAUACCAAUCGUCUAGACUCCUUCAAAUUAAGGUCCAUACUAUUCUAUAUGAAAAAUGUUUAUUUGCGUUCGAAAUCUAACUUGCUCAUAUCUCAAAGAUCGAAACUCUGGAGUCUCAACAAAGUCAGAAACGUACUUGGAGGUUAUUGUUCUUCCGGAGCGAUAAGAGACGAGAACUCAUAAAAUUUGAGUCUUUAAGUUUCACAAAAUAUUAGUAUCCAAUCAAAAAGACAAAUCGGGGGAGUCUUUAACUAUGCGGUCGUAAUUCUUUAUUCUGUUAGUUAUUUUUCAUGAUGACCCCACUUUCACAUAUUUUUCAUAUCUUUGCAGAAAAAUCUUCCCUGAUAACAGUCAGGGAUGGUUAUAACAAUGAAUGAUUUCCGUGGAGUUGAAGAACACAAAUCCAAGAGACACUCAAAAAGAAUACAACAACACGUGGUUGUCGUCAAAAAUUGGGAGGCCAUAUCAAUACAUAGUCUUCAGAAAUAUUUUGAGAAAGAAAAAUGCAAAGAUAGGUGUCCUCACCAAUAGUUGAGAGGAUACGAAAUAAUUUGUCGCAAACAGUCAGAAGACACUCUCUCUUUGACUAAUGAUGUCAGUGGAUGUUAAACCUACGAGUAUCGCUUCAAGUUUGUUUUUACCUUUGAAUUAUUUUAUGCCAUAUUUGCAAGGACUACGCACACCUGAUUUUCAUUUCGGUGAGAUACGUAAGCAACUCUUCUUGGGUUCGGUAUUCCCUUUUCAACUAAAAAAAUUGUACAUAUUUUAAGAGUCAUAUUUUCUUGAUUGGGACGAAUACAGUUAGGAGCAUGCAAAAUAUUCGGUAUGAUGAAAAUAAUUGGAUUUGUGGUAAACCAUACUCUUUUGGUACCUUUCAUUUGUACUUUUGUGAUGUUUGAAAAUUCUCUUGCAGGUAUUUAAGAUAAGAAUAAAACCAACCUCAUGGCUUCAUGUGCAUUGUGUGGUACAUGACUCAUCUGCAGUACUUGAGCCAAUACUGGGAAAUGCAUUAUUUGUUUCUUUGUGCAGGCACACUAAUGUUUUGCAGAACUUGGUUAUGGAGCUCCAGUAUGAUUCCAGUAAUUGUAGAGUCCAAGAAUCUGAAGGUGAUACCAACAAAGAUGCAGCACCCAACAACAACAUCUUCAACAUCCAACAAUUUGUAACUAGAAGAAAUGCAGUUGUACACUCCAGGCCUGCAACAUCUCAACCAACAUUAGGAAUUUUCCUUUCCUUUUCUUAUGUUGUGCAGGCUGCUUCAAGAAGACCAGUGGAUCUAAUAGGAGCAGCACACAACAAUAACAAGAGUUGCAGCAGUUACACUACAGAUGCAACAGUCACCAGAAGCAACACACAACACCAACAUCCAUCAACAACAACACUCAACAUCUUCAUGGAGUUGCAGAUUGCAUGCUGACCUGCAGAGAAAUACUUAUAAAUACUGCAAUCUCCAACAAUGGAUAAGGUAAUUUUCCAGCACCUGCAGAUCCCAUGGACAUGCAGAUUGCAUCACCUUGGAGUACCUCCAAUCCAAAUUAGUCAAGCAGAUCAAACACCAAUAUGAAAUCCCCAUACUUGAUGUGCUGCUGAUCAAACACCAACAUGAAAUCCCCAUACUUGAUGUGCUGCUACUGCUGGUUCUUCACUAUGGCUAAUUAUAGCUCUUUUGAAGAACUUGAGGUUAGGACUUUCUUGAACUCGACUAACCUGGAAUCGAUAAUUCAGAAGACAAAGAUGACUCUAGACGAACAAGUUAACAUCAUGAGUUCUCCAGUUUUACUGUUUAAUUUGGAACUAAGUACUUCUUAACUCUUUAAGAAUAUUAAUUUAGGAUUAGAUUGUAAAGGGGAGAGUCUCCCUCAUUUAUUGCUUUUCUAGAUACUGUGAAUAGAGAGGAGUCCACUCAUAGGGUCUGUACCCCUUUUUUCUAGUAUUUAGAAAGCACCAUAUUGUAUCGGGGAUAAGUUGGCCGACAUUAGUAGAUUAACCGACUUAUGAACCACUAUAGGAUCGGAGGUUAGGUUUAUGUCCCCCUCCUUGUAUUUUCUAUUUUCAUGUAUAAUAAGGCUUGGGGGUACUGCUCAACCCCUGGCUGUGCACGAGAGGUGGGAGCCUCGUGUAGGGUCUAUUCCCAGGAAAAAAAAACUAGAAAUGAUUUCAUAGACACC